rnacentral:rRNA from 1 species
UACGGGGGGAGCAAGCGUUGUUCGGAUUUACUGGGCGUAAAGGGCGCGUAGGCGGCGCAACAAGUCACUUGUGAAAUCUCCGGGCUUAACCCGGAGCGGUCAAGUGAUACUGUCGUGCUAGAGUGCGGAAGGGGCUACUGGAAUUCUCGGUGUAGCGGUGAAAUGCGUAGAUAUCGAGAGGAACACCUGCGGCGAAGGCGGGUAGCUGGGCCGACACUGACGCUGAUGCGUGAAAGCCAGGGGAGCGAACGGG